AGGCCUGAAUUUGGUCUUGGGGUGCCAUUUGUUUGAGACGGCUCCUGUUGAUCUAGGCCGACAUCUAAACUCGAAUUUAGGCCCAUCGUCCCUAACCGACUUAACUCGGAGUUCUCCCAACUCACUGUUUAAUUACCGAUUUAUUCAAUAUCGGCUGCCUUUCUUCUAACUGAGAAAAAUCCUUAACGGUUUCUUUCACAGAACCAGACGCCAUGGUGUUCAUCACAUCCCCCAACCACAAAACCCUAACCCUAAAUCUAAACCCGAAGACCACCACCCUCCAAACCCUAAAGCUCCAAAUCGAACAAAAAUCCCAGAUACCCAUCUCAGAGCAGCGCCUAUUCAUCUCUCAAAGCCUCCAAAUACUGACCCAAACCGGAUCCACCCUCCUCUCCGACCUCGGCAUCAGACCCCUCUCAACCCUGACCCUCCACAUCCCCUUGUUCGGCGGCACCCAACCGCCCAACGUCCCCAAACCCCGCCUCGAGUUCCUCAACUCCAAGCCUCCCCCAAAUUAUGUCGCUGGGCUCGGCCGUGGUGCCACUGGGUUCACCACACGAUCCGAUAUCGGGCCCGCCCGGGCCGCCCCCGACCUGCCCGAUAGGUCGGCCACGACAAUCGGUGGCGCUGCUGCUGCUGCUGCCCCGCCCGGGGUUGGCCGCGGUCGUGGGAAGCCUGAGGAAGAGGAAGAAGAUGAAGGAGAGGAUUGAGGGUAUGAUGAGAAUCAGAAGUUUGAUGAAUUCGAAGGGAAUGAUGUUGGGUUGUUUGCAUCGGCUGAGUACGAUGAUGAGGAUAAGGAGGCCGAUGCGGUUUGGGAAGCUAUUGAUACGAGAAUGGACUCGAGGAGAAAAGACCGGAGAGAAGCUCGGUUGAAAGAAGAGAUUGAGAAGUACAGAGCUUCGAACCCGAAGAUCACGGAGCAGUUUGCAAAUUUGAAGAGAAAGUUGUACACCGUGUCUGCUCAGGAAUGGGAGAGCAUACCCGAAAUUGGAGACUAUUCAUUGAGGAACAAGAAGAAGAGAUUCGAGAGCUUUGUGCCGGUGCCCGAUACGCUUUUAGAGAAGGCGAGACAGGAGAAGGAGCAUGUUACGGCUUUGGACCCCAAGAGUCGGGCAGCUAGUGGUACGGAGACGCCAUGGUCCCAAACUCCGGUUACAGAUUUGACCGCCGUAGGUGAGGGUAGAGGUACUGUGUUGUCAUUGAAAUUAGAUAGGCUUUCUGAUUCUGUUUCUGGGCUGACGGUUGUGGACCCAAAAGGGUACCUUACUGAUCUUAAGAGUAUGAAGAUUACUAGUGAUGCUGAGAUUUCUGAUAUUAAAAAGGCCAGAUUGUUGCUCAAGAGUGUAACACAGACGAAUCCGAAGCACCCACCUGGUUGGAUUGCGGCUGCAAGGCUAGAGGAGGUGGCUGGGAAGAUUCAAGCAGCCAGGCAGUUGAUUCAGAAAGGGUGUGAGGAGUGUCCCAAGAGUGAGGAUGUGUGGUUAGAGGCGUGUAGGCUUGCUAACCCGGAUGAAGCUAAGGCUGUGAUUGCCAAGGGUGUCAAGACGAUACCCAAUUCGGUGAAGUUGUGGAUGCAGGCUGCAAAACUAGAGCAUGACGAUUUGAAUAGGAGCAGAGUGUUGAGGAAAGGGUUGGAACACAUUCCUGAUUCUGUUAGGCUGUGGAAGGCGGUUGUGGAGCUGGCAAAUGAGGAAGAUGCAAGACUUCUGCUUCACAGGGCCGUGGAGUGUUGCCCCUUGCACAUUGAAUUGUGGCUUGCACUUGCAAGAUUGGAAACUUAUGAUAAUGCUAAGAAGGUCCUCAAUAAGGCAAGAGAAAAGCUAUCAAAGGAGCCAGCCAUUUGGAUCACUGCGGCCAAGUUAGAAGAAGCUAACGGAAAUACGUCCAUGGUUGGGAAGAUUAUUGAAAGAGGUAUAAGGGCCUUGCAAAGGGAAGGAUUAGCAAUUGAUAGAGAAGCGUGGAUGAGGGAGGCUGAAGCUGCUGAGCGUGCAGGGUCUGUUGCAACAUGCCAAGCAAUCAUUCGGAACACAAUUGGGAUUGGUGUGGAGGAAGAGGAUAGAAAGCGCACAUGGGUUGCUGAUGCAGAGGAAUGCAAGAAAAGGGGUUCGAUUGAGACAGCCAGAGCUAUUUAUGCUCACGCACUUACUGUGUUCUUAACCAAGAAGAGCAUAUGGCUCAAAGCUGCACAACUUGAAAAGAGCCAUGGGACUCGGGAAUCUCUUGAUGCUUUGCUUCGUAAAGCGGUGACAUAUCGACCACAAGCUGAAGUCUUGUGGCUUAUGGGAGCUAAGGAGAAGUGGCUUGCUGGGGAUGUGCCUGCUGCCCGUGCCAUCCUCCAAGAAGCUUAUGCUGCUAUACCCAAUUCUGAAGAAAUUUGGCUUGCUGCAUUUAAACUUGAAUUCGAGAACAAUGAACCUGAGAGAGCUAGAAUGCUUCUUGCCAAAGCCCGAGAAAGGGGAGGCACGGAAAAAGUUUGGAUGAAAUCAGCAAUUGUUGAGAGAGAGUUGGGGAACCUUGAUGAGGAGAGGAAGUUACUUGAUGAGGGAUUGAAGCGGUACGCUAGCUUCUUUAAAUUGUGGUUGAUGCUUGGACAACUAGAGGAACGGCUUGGUCAUUUGGAAAAAGCCAAGGAGGCUUAUGACUCAGGUCUGAAGCACUGCUCCAAUUCUAUUCCACUCUGGCUUUCUCGUGCUAAUCUGGAAGAGAAGAUGGUUGGGCUGAGUAAAGCUCGUGCAGUUCUCACGAUGGGCAGGAAGAAGAAUCCUCAGAAUCCUGAAUUGUGGCUUGCUGCUGUUCGAGCUGAAUUGAGGCAUGGUAAUAAGAAGGAAGCUGAUAUUUUGAUGGCAAAGGCUUUGCAGGAGUGUCCCAAUAGUGGUAUCUUGUGGGCUGCAUCUAUUGAGAUGGUACCCCGUCCCCAACGGAAGACCAAGAGUAUGGAUGCCCUCAAGAAAUGUGAUCAUGAUCCCCAUGUCAUUGCUGCUGUGGCUAAGUUAUUUUGGCAUGAUAGGAAGGUUGACAAAGCUAGGAAUUGGCUAAACAGGGCAGUGACACUUGCUCCAGAUAUUGGGGAUUUCUGGGCUUUAUACUACAAAUUUGAACUUCAACAUGGGACUGAGGAGAACCAAAAGGAUGUACUGAAAAGGUGUGAAGCGGCAGAACCAAAGCAUGGUGAAAAGUGGCAACCUAUUUCAAAGGCUGUGGAGAACUCUCACCAAUCAAUUGAAGCUAUCUUGAAGAAAGUGGUGGUUGCUCUUGGGAAGGAAGAGAGUGCAGCCGAAAAUAAUAAACACUAGUUCUGGCUUGUUUUUUCCAGGUUAUGUUUGGAAAACGUUGUAGUACAGAAAGAAAAUCGAUGUCUAGUGUCACUUGUCAUCCGGUUGGCAAACGUUGCUAUAAUUCUAGCUUUGCUCAUUUGAUAUAUUUCCUGGCUGAUGAAGCAUGGCUUAAUUGAUUGUUCGAAUUAUGAUGUUCCGCUAUUUGGUCAUCUAUCUUCAAGCAUCCUCUGAGCAUAGAAACAGCUUAUUGCUUGCCUGCUUGGACUUGAACACUAUGUUACUGUGCCUUAUUCUUUUAUCCUAAGAUGCAACCGGUACUUCUCGAUUUCCUACUUGAGUUUUGUAUGUGAAUUGACAAAAUUAUUUAUGCGAAUGUUUUUCUCAUAUUGCUUGACCCUGAAUUCAGCAGUAAAAUCGAUGGCAACAUAUAGUUUUUCAUUUUUUCCUUUUUUAGACUACUGUCAUGUGAGGCUCUGUAAUCUAUAGUUAUGGAAACAAAAUGUUGACAUGUCCAUGAACUGGGCUUCUUCAAUUUAAAGGGGAAAUGAGACU